rnacentral:rRNA from 1 species
UACGUAGGGUGCAAGCGUUGUCCGGAAUUAUUGGGCGUAAAGAGCUCGUAGGCGGUCUGUCGCGUCGGCUGUGAAAACCCGGGGCUCAACCCCGGGCCUGCAGUCGAUACGGGCAGACUAGAGUGUGGUAGGGGAGACUGGAAUUCCUGGUGUAGCGGUGAAAUGCGCAGAUAUCAGGAGGAACACCAAUUGCGAAGGCAGCAAACUGGUCCGUAUCUGACGCUGAGGCGCGAAAGCGUGGGUAGCAAACAGG